rnacentral:lncRNA from 1 species
CUGUGAUCCAAGAAAACAGUGAUGAGUCUUGUGGUGAUCACUUAGCUGCUGACAUGGUGGGAUGGAGGAUUCCAGAAUGCGUCAUGACUCACUGCCAUUGUGUUUACAGACUUACAGCAUACCAUGAAGACUCUACAUUAAAGCCACUUCUUAAAGCAAAUGCCAUGUCCUACAGUGCCAUCUGCAGAGAAGCAGUUUGCACUUGACAGAAAUCAAGGUCUUCUAAGCCCCAAGUUAAAGAACUCUAUUCAGCCGGGCGCGGUGGCUUAUGCCUGUAAUCCCAGCACUUUGGAAGGCCGAGGCGGGCGGAUCAUCUGAGGUUGGGAGUUCAAGACCAGCCUGACCAACAUGGAGAAACCCCGUCUCUACUAAAAAUACAAAAUUAGCCUGGGGUGGUGACACACGCCUGUAAUUCCAGCUACUAAGGAAGGCUGAGGCAGGAGAAUUGCCUGAAUCUGGGAGGCGGAGGUUGCAGUGAGCCGAGAUCGUGCCAUUGCUCUCCAGCCUGGGCAACAAAAGCGAAACUCCAUCUCUAAAAACAAAAACAAAAACAAAAACAAAACUCCAUUCAAAAGUAAAGUAGAAACACUAUCUUGAUGCACCAAAAGACCAACUGCUCACAACUUUGGUUCCAAGGUCUGGAGAAUUUGCUGAGUCUGUGAGGCCUGGAGUUUCACAGCCAGUAUCCAAACAGGGACUAUUUCUGAUUAAUGUGUUGCUAGGUAACUCAUAAUUAUACAAGCAAAGAAGCAAGUUCAAUGUAAUAUAACUCACAUUGAUUUUUUUGGCUAUGCUGUAAGAGCUUGAUGUUAAUGUAUAGGAAAAAAAUUCCCAAUAUCCCCCAAACAUUUUGUUCCAAUAAAUACUUCUUAAUAUUUUGAAAUCACCUGGUUGUUCUUAUAGAUCUGAAAGUAUUUGAAACACAUUUUUAUUAUGAAUCAUGAUUUAGGCUCCUGAUAGACAGUUUUGUGAGCAUACUGACUUCUCUAUAAAUAUUACCAGCUCAUUCAAACUAAGUGGAGCAAGUGAAUAGAUUUGUGGUCCUUUCCGUACAGACUUAGAAACUUCCCGGUUUUAUUUUGGUCUAAUUAUAGGUUUUGACUUUUUCAAGGUACAUAAUCAAAGUCUGACCCCUAAAAACGUCUAAUAAAGCUAUGCUUUAAAGGCCAAAGAAAUAAACACAUUAUUUUAAGUGUCAUGGAGUUAGUGCAAAUCCAUGUAUCUUUGCAGGCCAGGGGGUGUUUUCUACCAGAUGAGGGCCUAAGGCAAUGAGGCGGCACAGACAUAAUAAAAGUCUGACGCAGAGAGGAUUUGAAUACCAGCUAGAGUAGUGGAAACAUGUUGUCAAUAAAUGUCUCAGGUCAAGAAACACACAAAAUGAGAAGAAAUCGUAGCAACCACCUUGCAGUGACCAAAAAAAUCUAUAUAUAUUGUCGGGAUAAUUCUGAGAAUAAAGCAGUACUAUGAUGCUAAAAAGAUGGUCUUCCUAAAUUGCAAUAUGAAUGACUGCACGUUAGAAAAGCAUGUAUUUUGGACCAACGUUGUGAAACUAAGCUGUCUUGGGACACCAGGCAUGAAGGCAAUGGGGCACAUUGGUUACGAGUUCUGGGUUUGGCCAGGGUGUGAAUUCCAACUCUCAUUGACCUUGAGGAUGUUAUUUCAAUUUUUUGUGGUUUAGUUUUCUUAUCUGUAUCUCACAAGGUUAUCAGAAAGAUUAUAUAUAAUCAUGUAUAAAGCUUGACAUCUGGCCUCUCAAAUGCUAAAAUAAAAAAUAAAAAAUAAAAA